AGACAGACACGUGGGCCUCCCUCCAUGUGGCUGAGGAGUGCGUGUUGUAAAUAGAAGCAGUCCUCCUCCUCUUCCUCACAGAGCACAUCUGGGGCCACUCCCCGGUGCACCUCAGACCCGUGUCCUGUUCACUGUUAAUAAAUGGAUAUCUUUUUCACUGUAACAGAAAGCUGGGCUCUAUUUUUUUUCUGAAAAAAAAUAAUUGCCUUUAUUUUCUCUCAUUGCCUCCUUGGUCUCAGAAGAGAGCAGUUUUAUUAUAAAUAUUAUGUGGACUUGUUCACUAGAGUCCUGAAGAGAGACAUUUCACUGUUAUUUUGAAAGGGCAUCUUUUGAUUGUGUUCACUUUUGUCAUCUGUAUAUAAGUAAUAUUGACAGUGACAUAAAAACUUUUGUUAUGUGAAAAUAUUUAAGUCAGAGAACUGUUAAAUAUUAUUACUUUUUUCCAAACUGAUUUGUGUAUUGUAUAUUUUUUUAAGAAGAAAAAAGCCUUACUUGACUUCUUGUGAUACUGGACUUAAAAACCCAAGGCCCCCAAAUGUCAGUGUGUACACUGGCUGUGGUAGUGUUUUCAAAAGAAUUGUAAUUGUGCGAGAGUUUUAAAGUCUCUGCUAUUCAUGCACUUUUUCUUUUAUAAUUUUGUAUUGAAAUAUUUUAGAAAUAUUAAUUAAUUUUAGUGGACAGGUAGCCCCCAAAUUGAAAUGAUUGGAUUAAUUUUUUUGCUCUAUCUGGGUUAUUUAUUUUCCUUUCAGCAUUAACUGUCAUCUCAGGCCAUCUGUAAAGAGGCUGGCUCCUUCCUGGUUGUGUAGUGAAUGCAGGGCGCUGACUGGCAGUCAGUCACCUAUGUAAGGAAGACCUGGCCAGGGAGAUCUGAAGCCUGCUUUUAUUUUGGUUAAAGAAAAGAAAAUCUACCAGUAACCCAUUUUGUGUCUUUUUCUCAAUUUAUUAGCAAGCGAGUCUGACAUGUGUGUAUUUGAUUUACUUCCUCACCAUCAAAGCUGCUUCCUUACCAACAUUCCUUGACAAUACAAGGUUUUGAGAAGAUAACUCACUUGAAUAUUGUGGUUUACAGGUUGAUCUCUGUAUUUUAAAUGUUUGCAAUGCUGUUUUAGGAAAGUGGUUUCUAGCCUCAUGUGUAACCAGGGUUUUGAGGAUAGAGAACUGUAUUUUUAGAACUCUAUAUAACAUAAACUGUUUUGAAAUAACUAAAUGCAAAAUGGCAUUAGGAAAUGUGGUGUAUGUGUGGUUUUUUUGUUUAUUUGUUUGUUUUUAAAUCAUGUUUCAGAUAGACUAGUUGGGUGGGGAAUAAAUUUCAAUUCAGGUAUUUUUAGCAGAAAACAAAAACUGUUAUGAUAUUUCUUUUACCUGUGUGAGGUCCAGAGAAUGCAUACUCUCUUGGUGUCCCCUUGAAGCACAUGGAGCUGACAGCCAGGCAUGACCCUUGACAGCAAAUCCCGUGCCUAGUGCAGUCUUGAUGGUGUCACUCCUUCAGCUCUUCAGAGCCACUCAGUCCUUGAAGGAGGCUCCUGGUUGGGAGAAGAACCGCUAAGCCUAUCCCUGAGGCGUGCUGCUGCUGGCCCUAGGAUGAGUACAGCUGAGGAGACCGAGGGAGCAGGAGAGUGUGGCGUGCACAGACCCCGCACAGGGCCAUAGAUAAAGGUGGGCAGAGGCUGGGAAAGAAACCCCUCACACCCAGCAAGGUCUCCUACAGCCAGUCAGGCUGGAGGUGCUCAGAGAGCAGCCUGAGGAGAUGAGGGGGCAGAGUAGCCGGCCUCAGGAGGUUAGGGAGGCUCCUCAGAAGUUGCUUCCAUAGUGAGGUAUCAAAAUGGUAGGCCGUGUGCACCAGAAAGUUGUAUGCCCCGCACACCAUUUGUAAGGAAAGCUGAGUUCAGUUCCUUGGAGUUCUCAUGAGUACCUGUGAGUUUAGACAUCUGUGUCAUCCAGAUUUCCGAGAACAGCCUUUGGUACUGUGGGCUAUCUUCUGAGAGGUGUAUUCACUCACUAAGACUCAUGCUCAACCUACAUGGCGUCACACAAAUGCAUGUACGUAGUGUUUUAUAAGGGAGUUCCGUAUCUGUAGGCCAGGGAUAUCUCAUGCCUCCUUGCAUAAGGGGUUUCUCUCAAGCCAGUUUCAAAGCCCCCUCCCCUUGCCGUCCCCACACCUCCACGGAGAGUGACCCCAGGGCCUGGUGCUGCUGUGCUGACUCGUGAACCAUGCACAAGGCGAGGCUGACCCAUAGCCCCUUCUUGCUCUGCCCUUGGUUUAUACGCCUGGGAUGUGGGUAAAAUCCGUAUCAUGUAGAGCAAAGUCUUAAGUGGGCUGCAACACGUAUGUGCUUUCAAACACUUGUAACCCCAGCAUUUGGGAAAUGGAGGAGGUCAACCUCUACUCCAUAGCAUGCUCCAGGCCAGCCUGGGCUACCCCAAAACCAAACCAAAAGCCAAGGAAAAUGGAGCUACCCAGGAGCUGCCCACGAGAGCCCGACUUGGUCUCACUCACCCUGGUUUUACUUUUCAACCUUAUUCUUGUGAAGUGACUUGAAAUCUGGUUGCACCCUCUUUGCUGACUGAAAAUUAGAGCUGCACAAUUCCUGGGAAUUACGGCAGUGCACUGACUGGCCACUGCUGCCUUUGACCGGCUCUUCCCACGCGUGCUCACCAUUAGGUGAACAUUAUAUUCCACUCCACACUCUACCUGCACAGGCAUUGUGGUCAUUUUUUUGUAUGGACUAAAUGGUAUAGAUCUGUUAGUGUGUCAGGAGCAAUAGGCAGUAAUCAAAAAAUCGUGCUAUUUAAAUCUUUUCUAUGUGUAAUGCUUAUGGCAUGAAGACUUUUGUAUCGAAUCAAGAUUUGUAUAUUUGACAGGUUCUAAAAUGCCAUAGUGAUUAUUCUUCAGCCCCACCAAGAAAAUUCAAAGUUAAUUUUUUAAUUUACCGAAAAGUUCUCUUUUUAUCUUCAGAAUUGUCUCAUGGUCUAUUUAUACAUUGGAUGAUAUUUAUUUAAUCCAGUUUUGUAUUAGAAAUUGAUAGUUAUGCCAGAAGCCACUGUGCUGGCUUUUAAAAAAACAAUAAAAAUAGUUUUUGUAUUAUUUU
rnacentral:lncRNA from 1 species